CGUAAUUAACAGAAGUUACGCGCACGAGUCGCAGCUUGUUAUGUCUAUGCCCAGUCCACCGGCGGAUUCUUGUGACCAGAAUUUUCUAUUCUUUAAUUGCAAUGGUUAAACGACCAGGUGUUAUAAAUAGUUUGGGUCCAGAUUGCAAACGCUGAAGAGAAAAUGCAUUGGCGGACAACAUGCAGUUACAGAGGAGCUGACAGAGUACAUUCGGCAGGUGGAACAGAGAUUGGACAUCGUGGCAGAUCCCAGGUGGAGCUUUCCGUUCUCCUCUAGUGAGAGACAGACUUGCCAAGCUGGGAUACGGCAAAGGGCCUUCAGCAUCCAGGGAAAGGGCCUUCAACACCCAGGGAAAGGGCCUUCAACACCCAGGGAAAGGGCCUUCAACACCCAGGGAAAGGGCCUUCAACACCCAGGGAAAGGGCCUUCAACACCCAGGGAAAGGGCCAUCAACAUCCAGGUAAAGGG